UACGGGGGGGGCAAGCGUUGUUCGGAAUUACUGGGCGUAAAGGGCGCGUAGGCGGCCCAAUCAGUCGGGCGUGAAAGCUCUGGGCUUAACCCAGAAAGGUCGUUCGAUACUGUUGGGCUAGAGUGUGGAAGAGGCUACUGGAAUUCCGUGUGUAGCGGUGAAAUGCGUAGAUAUACGGAGGAACACCUGCGGCGAAGGCGGGUAGCUGGGCCGUCCCUGACGCUGAGGCACGAAAGCGUGGGGAGCAAACAGG
rnacentral:rRNA from 1 species